AAUACCACUACAAGAAAAAUAAUCUUGGGCGUAACAAGUGUGUGGCACAUGAGUUACUUAGGGCGUCAUCCGUAAUUCAAGAAGCACAAAGGUGGGUUUAGGCGACAAUAUACAUGUAUCGCCCAAAUUCCCGCGCCAUUCAUCACUGACCUAAAUUCCCCCAAAAGGAACCUAAGUUCAUCACUUACCCUUAAAAACCCCAAAAAACUCUGUCAUUCCUCCAUCUCUCCCACGUUGUUGCUGCUGCUCUCCAUCUCUCCCGCACGAAGCCAUUACUGUUGCUGCUCUUCUCAAGUUGGAUCGAGCUAACCAGCGUACAUCUAAUGGUUCAGAUUCACAAACUUAAAUCUACCAUAAAUUCUCGUAUAAGACCGUUUCACGGUGAGACCAUUUUAUUUGAGUUGGCCCAAUAUACAUUUAUUUUUAAGGUGAGAUUUUUUAUAGUUUUAAAAUUAUCACUUAUAACCUUAAAGUAAUCACUUAUAAUUUCAAAGUGAUUACUUAGAGAAAUGGACUUACUUGUAUGAACUCACACACUGUAAAUCUACUGAUUCCGAUCAUUCCAAGUUGAUUUUGAUCAUCAGCUGAACGAGAAUGGCAAAAAUGAUUCGUGGUUCAACUUAAUUUGGUAUGAAUAUAUGAUUGAGUUUUAUUUCUCUUGGAGAACUAAUAUGUGUUUAUAGUUUAUUGUGUGUAUAAUUUAUGCAUUGCCUUUGAGAAGGUGUUUUUGGAUUAAUUUUUUGUCCGACGAAGUUAAGUUUUAAGGUCAAUGGUACGUAAUGCUGAAAAUGAUCAUAUUUUGCUCUAGUAAAGAAGUAAUUUGAUAAUCAUCUUUUUAUAUGUGAUGGUUAUCUUGAGCAAGUACAUAGCCAUUAUAAUUUUUGGAUAUUUUUGUGAGUCGAACUUUUAUGUAAAGAACCAAAAUUAAAUGUGUAUGCAUAUACAAGCAAAUUACUUACUCUUUUAUAUAAGAAGCAAUAUAUUAUGAUUAUUAUUAUUAUUAAUGUGCAAUUAAUAAUUAUGAGCUUU